GACGAACGCUGGCGGCGUGCUUAACACAUGCAAGUCGAACGGAAAGGCCCUGCUUUUGUGGGGUGCUCGAGUGGCGAACGGGUGAGUAACACGUGAGUAACCUGCCCUUGACUUUGGGAUAACUUCAGGAAACUGGGGCUAAUACCGGAUAGGAGCUCCUGCUGCAUGGUGGGGGUUGGAAAGUUUCGGCGGUUGGGGAUGGACUCGCGGCUUAUCAGCUUGUUGGUGGGGUAGUGGCUUACCAAGGCUUUGACGGGUAGCCGGCCUGAGAGGGUGACCGGCCACAUUGGGACUGAGAUACGGCCCAGACUCCUACGGUAGGCAGAAGGGGGGAAUAUGGCACAAUGGGCGGAAGCCUGAUGCAGCAACGCCGCGGUCGGGAUGACGGCCUUCGGGGUGUAAACCGCUUUCGCCUGUGACGAAGCGUGAGUGACGGUAAUGGGUAAAGAAGCACCGGCUAACUACGUG
rnacentral:rRNA from 1 species